AUUGAACGCUGGCGGCAGGCCUAACACAUGCAAGUUGAAUGGUAACAGGAAACAGCUUGCUGUUUCGCUGACGAGUGGCGGACGGGUGAGUAAUGUCUGGGAAACUGCCUGAUGGAGGGGGAUAACUACUGGAAACGGUAGCUAAUACCGCAUAACGUCGCAAGACCAAAGAGGAGGACCUUCGGGCCUCUUGCCAUCAGAUGUGCCCAGAUGGGAUUAGCUAGUAGGUGGGGUAACGGCUCACCUAGGCGACGAUCCCUAGCUGGUCUGAGAGGAUGACCAGCCACACUGGAACUGAGACACGGUCCAGACUCCUACGGGAGGCAGCAGUGGGGAAUAUUGCACAAUGGGCGCAAGCCUGAUGCAGCCAUGCCGCGUGUAUGAAGAAGGCCUUCGGGUUGUAAAGUACUUUCGGCGGGGAGGAAGGGAGUAAAGUUAAUACCUUGGCGCAUUGACGUUACCCGAAGAAGAAGCACCGGCUAACUCCGUG
rnacentral:rRNA from 1 species